rnacentral:rRNA from 1 species
UACGGAGGGUGCAAACGUUGCUCGGAAUCAUUGGGCGUAAAGCGCACGUAGGCGGACUGUUAAGUCGGAUGUGAAAUCCCUCAGCUUAACUGAGGAAGUGCACUCGAAACUGGCAGUCUUGAAUAUGGAAGAGGGUCGCGGAAUUCCCGGUGUAGAGGUGAAAUUCGUAGAUAUCGGGAGGAACAUCAGUGGCGAAGGCGGCCUUCUGGUCCAGUACUGACACUCAAGUGCGAAAGCGUGGGGAGCAAACAGG